AACGCACCUUGCGCCCCUUGGCUAUUCCGAGGGGCAUGCCUGUUUGAGUAUCAUGAACACCUCAACUCUCACGGUUUGCUGUGAUGGGCUUGGACUCUGGGGGUUUUGCUGGCCUCUGGUCGGCUCCUCUCAAAUGAAUCAGCUUGCCAGUAUCUGGUGGCAUCGUGGGUGUGAUAACUAUCUACGCUCAUGGCUGUCUGCUGGGGUAACCUUCAGCGAUGGAGGUUUGCUGGGGCUCACAAACGUCUCUCUUUUGCAGGGACAGCUUUUUAGACGUUCGAUCUCAAAUCAGGUAGGACUACCCGCUGAACUUAA
rnacentral:rRNA from 1 species